UACAGAGGGUGCGAACGUUGCUCGGAAUUACUGGGCGUAAAGCGCGUGUAGGCGGUCUGUUAAGUUGGUAGUGAAAUCCCAUGGCUCAACCAUGGAAGUGCUGCCAAGACUGGCAGGCUGGAGUGCCGGAGAGGGUGGCGGAAUUCCCAGUGUAGAGGUGAAAUUCGUAGAUAUUGGGAGGAACACCGGUGGCGAAGGCGGCCACCUGGACGGUAACUGACGCUAAGACGCGAAAGCGUGGGGAGCAAACAGG
rnacentral:rRNA from 1 species